AUAGGACAUGGGGAAAUGGUUUCAAACUAAAAGAGGAGAGAUUUAGACUGGAUAUAGGGAAAAAGCUUUUUACAAUAAGGGUAGUGAAGCACUAGCAUAUGUUGCCCAGAGAGGUGGUGGAUGCCCCAUCCCUGAAGACCUCCAAGGUCAGGCUGGAUGGGCUCUGAGCACCUGAUGGAGCUGUGGUGUCCCUGUGCAUUGCAGGAGAGUUGGACCAGAUGGUCUUUAAAGGUCCCUUCUAACUCAAAUGAUUCUAUGAUUCUGUGAACUGCAGAUGACCUGUUGGCUUGGUUGUCUCAGUGCAUUUCAGCUGUAGUCAGGUGCCUGUAAAAAAACAUCAUCACUCCAGGUGAUGUUUAUCUGGGGCAGUUGUUCUCAUAUCCUUAUCUCAGGAACUGGGUUUUUUUACUCUUACACGCAAGCACAGCAUGGAGAGCUGCAGGAGCUGAGGGAAUUCCCAAUGCCUCUGGAGUGAAAACACCAGACAGCUUGAAAUGGUGGAGUGGUGCAUUCAGCUGAAAUAAAGAGUAGGAAAAGACCCCCAAAAAGGCUUUCUUCUCACCCUGGUGUGAGCUCUGCUCUUUGCUGGAAAGGUCCCAGCUGGGUUUAAACCAGGAGCAGGAGAAAUGCUCCAGUGAUGCCUGUCUUUCUCUAUGAUUGGUAAAGACUAUACCAACCCUCACCUCACUGGCACACACGGAGAAUCGAUUAAUGUAAUUAUCUUUUAUUACUGUCGGUUACCUUUCCUGGAGGUGUUUUUGCCACACUUUUUGUGGCCAAAUUCCUUGGUAAACCCACAUUCCCCCAUAACCAAUCGCAACCACAACACGUUUGUUUCAUGAGCUCCUGAUGCACUGAGGUUUGCUUCAGUAACAAUUUACAGUCUCUGCUUUGGAAAUCCGGUCUUACCAUGAAAAUUUCAGGCAAAUGAGUCGAAAUCGGGUGCCAGCAGCCCUAUUUAGGUAUUCUGAGAAAUGUGAUGUCAUUCAAAUAAGUGUCAAGGCUUUUUUUUCCUGUGCCAAUAGAAAGCAGAGGUACUCAGCAUCUUUGAAACGCUGUCAAAUUUGAAGUUUCUAAGUAUAGAUUUUAAAGCCUAAUUUAAGAACAGGGUUUUAAAAUGUCAGUCUAGAAAAUUUUGUGGUUUAAGCUGUCUUCUCUUUUCCACAGAAUGCAAAAGGUCUGGUGCAACGAGCCUUGAAAUACUGUUGAAUAUUACAUCUCCCAAGCAGUUCUAUUUCAGUGGGGAAUUUGUAGUAGAGACAUCAGAGGCAUUUGUUCGAAUUUGUCAAAUGUCAGCUAGAUGAUGCCCCGUUUCCCUUGAGAAGAGAGCAUCUAAAUAAUUAAAAGGAAUCACUACUUUAAAUAUCCACACGUGUGAAUUCCUUCGAGAUGCAAACUGUGGUUUUACUUUUAUUGCCUAGCAAAGCUGAAAUAAAUAAAUACAUAUAAAAAUAUACACAGUUCCUUCAAUACUAUAGAAUGUUAGUUUGGGAAGAUGUCAUUUAACCAUGCGUUUCACUGUAUGAUGAUAAUGCUUUCUUCUGCAUUUGAGCAAUACGCUGAAAGAAAUGUGGUAAUUCUACCAGUUGCUUAUUGACUUACCAGUUGUCAUUUGUUUUCACUCAGUUAUUCUUUUAUACGAUCUCACUGCUGGUAGGAAGUUAAAAAAAUAAAAUAAAAUAAAGGUUUAUCUCACACAUAAACUUAAUUAUCUCAUUUUAGGAUCAGCUAUACUUGUUAACAACCAUUUUCAAAAAUUACCAUGGCUUUGAUUACAGGUGUGAGUUUUCAACAGAUACCUGCUGAGCAUCUGUAUUAUCUUCAGUAAAAUGACAUGUUUUCCCAGGCUCGGAUAUUUUAAGACAUACUAAGACUCAAUUUACAAUUUACAUCACUUUUUCCAAACAAGCUGUCCCAUGGAAAGUCCCCAGCUGCAAAGGUUUCACACACAAAAGAAGUGAUGAACCGGUAUUUGGCAACAAACCCAACAGACCAUUGUGAAAAUUAAACUCAAGGGGAAAGGGGUGGGGGUUUCUAGCUUGAAAAACACUGACCAGCUUAUGUUGCCCCUCCCUGUAAGCCUACAGCCUUGCUGCACAACCAGUUCCAUUCUGAAAAGAAACCUUACUUGGUAACACAGUUGUGUAUACAAAAGAAUCCUACCACACAUCACAGCCGCGAUGAUGCAUCCUGGGCCUGAUCCAACACAAGCCAUUGCUGAUGGAAAGAUGUGCUCCAUGUUCUUCUGUGAUUGCACGUGUCGUUGGGCCAGAUGACUUGACCCAAGGCAGCCUCCUGUUCCUUCCCCUCUGAAAGGACAGGCACCCGGGUGUUAGUCCAAACCACUAUGAAGAUUUCUUAUCUACUGCCAAGAGGUGGUGGCAUGAGGUGUGUUUCCAAUAGGAAUCAUAGUAUCAUUAAGGCCACAAAAGGCCUCUAAGAUCAAUCCAGUCCAACAGUCCAACUGUCCAGCUACCACCAGUAUUGCCCGCUAAAUGACGUCCCUCAGUGCCACAUCCCCAUGGUUCUUGAACACCUCCAGGUAUGGUGACUCUACCACCUCCCUGGGCAGCCCAUGCCAAUGCAUCACCACUCU
ensembl:lncRNA